rnacentral:rRNA from 1 species
AUGGGGGCCAUCACCUGCACCCUCCUGACGGCCUGGAACCUCUCCAAGGGCCACCCCCACUUCGACGAGCCGCCGGCCUACCCCUACCUGCACAUCCGCAACAAGGAGUUCCCCUGGCGAGCCAUGGGUUUGACUUCGGCAAAGGGGAUCGCCCUCACCGUCUCCUUGUUUUGGCCUCCUCGCGUUUCUGCUCGGUGUCAUUUAUCUGUUAUACUAUAUGAAUCAUGCAUGCUGAUACACUACUGUGCAAGUUCUAUGGUAUGUGAGUUCCUUUUGUUGCUGCAAGCAUUGAUACAAUAUGUCAUGUUUAGGGAGCUCUGCAUCUGA